GUCUCCAUAAAAACCCAAAAGGACAGGGUUUGAAGAGCUUCCAAAUAGCUGAACGCAUGGAGGUUCCUGGAGGGUGGUGUGCACUGGGAGGGCAUCGAACCACUGCACCCCUGCCCAUACCUUGCCCCACGCAUCUCUUCAUCUGUAUCCUUUAUAAUAUUUUUUAUAAUACCCUUUAUAAUAGACCAGUAAACAUGGACCCUGACUUCUGUGAGCUGCUCUAGCAAAGUAAUCAAAUCCAAGGAGGGGGCUGUGGGAUCUCUGAUUUAUAGCCGGUCAGUCAGGGCAUGGGUAAAACAACCUGGGACUUCAGAUAGGCGUCGGAAGUCAGGGGCAGCCUUGUGGGACUGAGCCCUCAACCUGCAGUGUCUGACACUAUCUCCAGGUAGAUAGUGUUGGAAUUGGAUUGGAGAAUGCCCAACUGGUGUCUGCUGAAGAAUUGAUUGCUUGCCUCUUGGUGGGGACCCCCUCAUCCAGUAUUUGGUUACAAAAGUCUUCUGUGUAGAUUGUUGUGGUGUGAAAGCAAAGGAAAAACAGUUUGUGUUUUCCACUCACAAAUGUUCUUUGUGAGGCAGGGAAUACGCAAGGGUUUCACCAUAGCAGCUCUCUAUCUGAAACCCUUGCUAGAGAUGACAUCACAUACAUUUCUCUGGGAAUAUAUGUUUCUUCUGUGCCUGUGUAAAAUUUAACAUCAGAAUAAAUCUAACUGUGCCAAUAUCAUAAAAAAGAGGAUUGUUUAUUUCAGUUGUAACAUUGAGCUUUCAUUUUGAUUUCAACUGACUUUGUAUUUCACUUUCAGUUUUUGAUGACUAUCUACGCACAGGCUAUUUAUAAGUAUUUAUAAAUACUCCUAAUUAAAGUAUUGUAGGACUUUCUCUUCAGUUCAGCUAAAAACCAGGUUCUUGUCACACGACCAGGAAAGGUUAGGCUUGUGGACACCUAGAAGGGUGAGAAAAAUGGAAAUUAUUGGGUGAAAAGGAAAAAGACUCUCCACAAAGCAAGAGGGGUUCCUGUUAACAGAUCCCCAUCUCACAUAUUGAAUCCCAGGUCACCGCCCAGGAACAGGAGAGGCCAGGCUCCUCCCGGCUGCAAAUGGUGUGAACUUCUCGAGGCCCUGCCCCAUCCUCCCAGUGCACAGGCUGGUAGAAGGUUCUCUGGGGAGACCUUUUUACUUGGCUGUCUCGAAAACAUAGAAAUAUCAUACAUUUUCGACACGCACAUAUGAAUCACACAAUAAUCAUGGUAGUUAAUAUUAGAUUUAGAUAAUGAAAACAUCCUUUUAUGUACUUCCUUUGUCUUUUUUUUUCUUCUUCAGUUUUCUAUUUUUCAACUAACAUGUUGCUUUGUGUUUCAUUGAAGAUGUACUUUCUGAUUUCCACAUAGAGCUGCAAAUGUCCAGUUCACAUCACAACACCAAGGAGAAGCAGCUCCUUGUUUUUCCUUUCGCCACUUCACCCUCAGGUCCACCCUCAGCAGCCAGCUCUCUGGGAUAGUCCUGAUCUUCUCCCAGCACAAUCAGUUAAAAAUCCCAUUGUAAAUCCUGCUGUUGGGUAAAUGGAAGUCAGUGCGUCAGAAUGGCAAUAAGCACUUACCAGAAUGAAUUGUAUGCAAAAAAAAUCUGAUGCCUUUUCUGUAGGACUGUCUAAAAAAGAGGAAAAUGGUUUAAAUACUCAUUUUAUGCACUACUAGAUAUGUUUCUGAAAAACUGUGUGUGAAUGGAAAACUUUGAACCUAUUUCAAGUGCAUAAGGGUACCUGACUACAUAAAUAAAACCUCUGGAGAAUUCUUUUCAAAAUGGUAGAAUUAAUCUCUAUUUAGUCACUUUCUUAGUUUGGAAUUUUAUAUGGUAGAACCCUCUGCAUGCUAGAAUGUGGUGAAUUGUUUUUUUUCUAGCUUUAAUUUUUGACAACCCUUUGAGAAGCCAGGAGAAAUUAAUCUAGAUGUUGAGGACAGAGAGUCCAUUUCAGGCUUUCUCAUUUUUUGGCAUCUUAUAUGGGGCAAAUCCUUGUGAAGAGGGUUCAGGGUGAAGAGGGCUAAUUAGGCCUCAUGAUUAGGGGAGGAAGGAACCACAGGAUAGAGCCUGCGGGACGGAGCUUGUCAGGGAGGGCUUGGAAGUGCAGAGGUGACCUUGGAUGGUGCAGACCAGUGAUCUUAAAAACAUUUCAGCUAUGGAACCCAUUCUUCAAAGAAGUCGUACUCAGAAGUCUGAUACAUUAAACAUGUAAAAGCCAAGCUGCUCUGCCUGAAGCGAUGUGGGGAGCCUGGAGUCCUGCUGAGGAAGGGUAUUUUGACCAUGCUGUUUAAUGCGUGUCACUGAUUAGAGGAACACUUUUAGAUUGGAAAGAUUUUGAUCAUCUCAAAAGUCUUGGAUAUAAAAAUUCAGUCUGUGUGGCAGGGAACAGCUCACUCCUGACUGGUUGAAGAUAGGAGGUUGAAGAAAUAAAUGAACUUGAAGCAGACUUGAAGUUUCAUGCCUGAGAUCCUAAAGUAAGAUAAUGUUUGUAAGGCUGAUUGCUAAUCAAGAUGCCUUAUUUCUCAGAUUUUUUUAAUCUGAAUUAUUCCUUCCUCAACCAACAUCCCGAUUUAGGAGCUGUUAUAAGUCAUCACUCAAGAUAAGGAUUUAAAAGGACUGGAUUGCAAAUGCAGCCAGCAAAGCUUAGAAGCCUAAAGGGGUGGGAAAAUGAACUCCCCAAUAUGGGAAAUAAAUGGCAGUUCUGAUGAUUGGCAAAGCGGUCUGGCUUCUUCCAGAAAUAUUUAUAAAGGCAUAAAUUAAUGGCAUUCCAGUUUCUCAAGGAGAAUGAAAAUAAAAAUCCCCAAACAUUCUAAUUUCUCUAAGAGAAUAUAAACAUAAAAGCAAGAGGGUCCUAACAGUGUCGCUC
rnacentral:lncRNA from 10 species